AUUGAACGCUGGCGGCGUGCUUAACACAUGCAAGUCGAUCGGUAACGCGGGGGCAACCCUGGCGACGAGAGGCGGACGGGUGAGGAACGCUUGGGAAUCUGCCUAUCAGCGGGGGACAACACGGGGAAACUCGUGCUAAUACCGCAUACGCUCUACGGAGGAAAGCCGGGGACCGCAAGGCCUGGCACUGAUAGAUGAGCCCAAGCCGGAUUAGCUAGUUGGCGGGGUAACGGCCCACCAAGGCGAUGAUCCGUAGCUGGUCUGAGAGGACGAUCAGCCACACUGGGACUGAGACACGGCCCAGACUCCUACGGGAGGCAGCAGUGGGGAAUAUUGGACAAUGGGGGAAACCCUGAUCCAGCGACGCCGCGUGGGUGAAGAAGGCCUGCGGGUUGUAAAGCCCUUUCGGUAGGGACGAAAGCUCUCGACCUAACACGUCGGGAGGUUGACUUAACCUACAAAAGAAGCACCGGCUAACUCUGUGCCAGCCGCCGCGGUAACAC
rnacentral:rRNA from 1 species